ACCUGGCUGGCUCAGUUGGUAGAGUGUAAGACUCUUGAUCUCAGGGUCGUAGGUUCAAGCCCCACGUUGGAUG